AAAGUAGAUUUUCUUGAAUCAGGAGAGGAAGGGAGGGCUGGAGAGAGGGGCUGCUUGCUGUCUUCGUGUCCUAGAGAAACAGGCACAAGCUGGACUUCCUGAUAACAAAGCAAUUGUGCAAGGACAGAGUGGAUCGAUGGCAACAAAACCCUAGGGACAAAGGAUCUCCUGAAAACCAAUCUCUGCUUCCUGCCAUGCUGUAUCAGGAUCCCAUGUGUAUCCCAAAAGGGGACAUCCUGUAACCUAUAGCCAGAAUUCAAGGACAUAAGCUUUAUGACCCCUGUGAAGAGGAACCACAUGUUUUCAAGAAAGAAAUGUGCCAGAGGAUGCAUACACACACUUUUGGAUUUCCUGGACUGAAACUCUUCUCCCUGCUCCUUUUGAAGGCCAGCAAGACAUGGAUUCAAUGGUGGCAGAACCACCACUUUUCAAUUGCAAUGCAGUGAACUCAGAACACUUAAAAAGUCAUGAGGGCUGUGAUGGGGUGAGAAACUGAAUUCCAGCUGAGGCAAGGGGUUAUCUUCCAACAGACAGAAGAGUAGCCUUCACCUGAAGAGACAAUAACUUUUUGACACACUUUAACUCGAUCGCUUAUGAAUGACUCUAACCCUGUGCAAUAAGGAUAAAAGACUCUUUUAAAUUGAUUUAGAGUCCACAAAAAAGGUUGUGCCAGUACCUUAUUAUUUAAAUCAAUGCUACUUCGCUGUGCAGACAAGAUCUAAGUGUUAAGCUUUGUGGAUGUAGUGAGUCCUACAGAGGGAACUGAAGUGAUCAAUUUUUUUCUCACAAUCACACCCUGCGGGGACUGAGAAAGAAGCUCCAAAACAUUGAAAUUUGGCUUUCCUGGACACCUUCCUAUUUAAGGUAUUCCAAAAAGCUUUUCAGUAAUAAGCUGAAUGUUGGUGCUAAAAAGACUGCACAAACACAGAGAC
rnacentral:lncRNA from 1 species